CCAAAUUAGAUAUGCAAACAAUCGAUAAAAUAGGCAUAAACAAAGGGCAAAGGCAGGCUUCAACGUCAAUGGGCUACAAUAUAUAAUAGGGAUUAAUGGAGGUGGGGAGGGUUUAGUUUAAUGCUUUACCAUACUGCUAUUCAGAUAUGAGGAGAGAAGAAGAGAUCAAGGUCCUCCAAAAUAAAGAGGUUGUAGUCCACUUUUAGUUGAUGAAGAUACAUCCAGCCGAUUGUAGAGAGAGCAGCACCAGCGGAGGGUAAACAACAACCAAGAGUAGUAGCAGCAGUGAUGUAAUGGCAGCAGUGUAUAGCAGCAGCAGUGAGGUAAUGGCAGCAGUGUGCAGCAGCAGCAGUAUUGUAACGACAGCAGUAUGUAGCAGCAGCAGUGAGGUAAAGGCAACAGUGUGCAGCAGCAGCAGUAUUGUAACGGCAGUAGUAUGUAAAGGCAGCAGGUGCAGCAGCAGUAGUUUUGUAAUGGCAGUAAUAUGUAGCAGCAACAGUGAGGUAAAGGCAGCAGGUGCAGCAGCAGUAGUUUUGUAACGGCAGUAAUAUGUUGCAGCAGCAGUGAGCAUUGAUUGGUGAGGUCAGCAGUAACAAAACAGCAGCAGAAAAAAAGAAAUAAGAC